GCCUUGGUCGUAUAGUGGUCCAGUAUGCGAGACUGUCACUCUCGUGACCCGGGUUCGAAUCCCGGCCAAGGCGCCA
rnacentral:tRNA from 1 species